UGUGACCUGCGAGCUGGGCUGGGGGCUAUAAAGAGAUGAUCAAUGAUUUAUCAAUAGGAAUGAGGAGAAAUGGCUUCAGAUCAUCAGUGAAGGUUUAUAAACCCUCCAUUCCCCUGUUGAAGACACAUUGCUUCCAGAAAGUCCUGCUGCUGCUUUGAUUCUUCAUCACAAGAUGAAAUUCAUCCUUUUUACUUUGUUCCUCUGUGGAUUCAUCCUGGAAAUCAAUGUGAG